GGUGUCAUUAUUCUGUCUCUCUGUUAAUCCAUAUACAAUUCAGAAAGAUCAUCCAAUUAUUUUGUCCCUCUUAAUCCAUCACUUUGUAGGUCUUUGUAGGCUUUGGUUUCUUCCAGGACAUCUUCAUUAUCAAGUUGAAACACCUAAAAAGCCAUGUUUCUUGUUUGCCGCCUUGUCAACUCUUCUUUUAAUGAGUGCAGCUUCUGCAUCAUAUUCUUUUUUCUUUGAAGCAAAGUGUGCACACCAAUUGGUUAGAGUACUAAUUGAAUCUUUACAAUCCUUUUGCCUUUCUUUGUCUCUGCAUGUGCUGGAUAAAUCUGCUGCUGCUGCUUCCUUGUGUGUCACAGGCAAAAGCCUAGGGAGGAUUAACAUGUUAUCUUCAUCAUCAAAGUGACCAAUCCAAUCCUUUCUUUCUGGUGAUUAUUAGAACUCGGCAAACUUGAAACUGGGACGGAGCUAUGCUUUCAGAAGAAUCCUAGGGGUUGCCAUUCUUUUGAGCCUUCAGUAAUGCAGCUUGUGAGUUCAUAGGCAGUGAGAUCAAGCAGCCUGGGCACCGUCAACUAUUCCUUCUUUGGUAGUUAAGCUACAACAAGGCAAAGACCACAUUAGCACCAGAUUACAGGACAAAAGUCUUCUCAGGAAGCUUCAGUUUAAGAUCAGCUGUGAUCUUAAGCUCAAGACUUGUGUUCUGCUUCAUUCUGAAAGUGCUUGGACAAAGACAGCUGCUUGUGGUGGCAAAAGGAUUCAAAGGUGGUGCCGAAGUUACGAUGGCUAUCAUCUUAGUUUCCCCUGCCUUAUUGAGCUAAUCCUUCAACCAACCGGAGCACAUCGAAAAGGAGAGCCUUACUAGUUGCAGAAUAGUAGCAGCAGCAGCAGCUGAUCACCAU